CUUUCUAAGUCAUUCUCGAAGCGCCACUCGCAGCGUUAGGGCAUUCCACGCUCCCUUCGUCCCGGGGCACCAUGGUCGAGCAAGAGGGAUUAUCGUCCUGCGGGCAUCCUUCUCCGGAAAACCGUUAUUCAGCGAUAGUUAUGACCUCCCGGUUACGUGCGUUGGGUGGAAGAAUUAAUAGUAUACGCACCUCAGAACUACCCAAAGAGAAAACUCGGUCCGAAAUCGUCUGCAGCAUCCGCUUCCUAGAUGGCUUGGUACAGACCUUCAAAGCUAAUAAACAAGACACCGGUCAAGUUCUUCUGGAUAUGGCAUACAACCACUUGGGUGUGACUGAAAAGGAGUAUUUUGGUUUGCAGCAUGGCGAUGACUCAGUCGACUCUCUGAGAUGGCUGGAAUCAAGCAAACCCAUCAGGAAGCAGUUAAAAGGAGGUUUCCCCUGUACUCUGCAUUUUCGAGUAAGAUUUUUUAUACCUGAUCCCAACACACUGCAGCAAGAACAAACCAGGCAUUUGUAUUUCUUACAACUGAAGAUGGAUAUUUGUGAAGGAAGGUUAACCUGCCCCCUUAACUCGGCAGUGGUUCUAGCAUCCUAUGCAGUACAAUCUCAUUUUGGAGACUAUAAUUCUUCCAUUCAUCAUCCGGGCUAUCUUUCUGAUAGUCAGUUUAUACCAGACCAGAACGAUGACUUUUUAACGAAGGUGGAAUCGCUCCAUGAGCAGCACAGUGGGCUAAAGCAAUCAGAAGCCGAAUCUUGCUUCAUCAACAUAGCACGGACCCUCGACUUCUAUGGAGUGGAGCUGCACGGCGGUAGGGAUCUGCACAAUUUAGAGCUAAUGAUUGGGAUUGCUUCUGCGGGCAUCGCCGUGUACCGAAAAUAUAUUUGCACAAGUUUCUAUCCUUGGGUGAACAUUCUAAAAAUUUCUUUCAAAAGGAAAAAGUUCUUUAUACAUCAGCGACAAAAACAGACUGAAUCCAGGGAACAUAUCGUGGCCUUCAACAUGUUAAAUUACCGAUCUUGCAAAAACUUGUGGAAAUCCUGUGUCGAGCAUCAUACAUUCUUUCAGGCAAAGAAGCUACUACCUCAAGAAAAGAAUGUCCUGUCUCAGUACUGGACUAUGGGCUCUAGGAACCUGAAAAAGUCUGUAAAUAACCAGUAUUGUAAAAAGGUGAUUGGAGGGAUGGUGUGGAACCCAGCCAUGCGGAGAUCAUUAUCAGUGGAGCACUUAGAAACCAAGAGCCUGCCUUCUCGAUCCCCUCCCAUCACUCCCAACUGGCGAAGUCCUCGGCUCCGGCACGAAAUCCGAAAGCCACGGCACUCUUCUGCAGAUAACCUUGCGAACGAGAUGACCUACAUUACCGAAACCGAAGAUGUGUUUUACACGUACAAGGGCUCCCUGUCCCCAAAAGACAGCGAAUCCGAGGUUUCUCAGAACCGAAGCCCGCACCGAGAGAGUAUAUCCGAGAACAAUCCAGCACAAAGCUGCCUGACCCAGAAGUCAUCCAGUUCUGUGUCUCCAUCUUCAAAUGCUCCAGGCUCCUGCUCACCAGAGGGCGUCGAUCAGCAGUUCUUAGAGGACUUCCACAGGGUGACCAAAGGGGGCUCCACCGAGGACUCCAGCCAGUACUACUGUGACAAGAAUGAUAAUGGUGACGGCUACCUAGUUUUGAUCCGCAUCACACCAGAUGAAGAUGGAAAAUUUGGAUUUAAUCUGAAGGGAGGAGUGGAUCAAAAGAUGCCUCUUGUGGUAUCAAGGAUAAACCCAGAGUCACCUGCGGACACCUGCAUUCCUAAGCUGAACGAAGGGGAUCAAAUCGUCUUAAUCAAUGGCCGGGACAUCUCAGAGCACACCCAUGACCAGGUGGUGAUGUUCAUCAAAGCCAGCCGGGAGUCCCACACGCGGGAGCUGGCCCUGGUGAUCCGGAGGAAAGCUGUCCACUCAUUCACUGACAUCAAAUCCGACGAUGAGCUGAACCAGCUUUUCCCAGAGGCCAUUUUCCCCAUUUGCCCAGAGGGUGGGGAUACCUUGGAGGGAUCCAUGGACCAGCUAAAGAAGGGCCUUGAAAGCGGGACGGUGCUGAUCCAGUUUGAGCAACUCUAUAGAAAGAAGCCCGGUCUGGCCAUCACGUUUGCAAAGCUGCCUCAAAAUUUGGACAAAAACCGCUAUAAAGAUGUGCUGCCUUAUGACACCACCCGGGUCUUGUUGCAGGGAAAUGAGGAUUAUAUUAAUGCGAGUUCUGUGAACAUGGAAAUUCCUGCUGCUAACCUUGUGAACAAGUACAUUGCUGCUCAGGGUCCCCUGCCACACACCUGUGCACAAUUUUGGCAAGUCGUCUGGGAUCAGAAGUUGUCACUCAUUGUCAUGUUGACGACUCUCACAGAGCGAGGACGGACCAAAUGUCACCAGUACUGGCCCGAUCCUCCCGAUGUCAUGGAACAUGGCAACUUUCACAUCCGAUGUCAGUCAGAGGACUGCACCCUCGCUUACGUGUUCCGAGAAAUGCUGGUCACCAACACUGAGACCGGGGAGGAGCACACGGUCACGCAUCUCCAGUACGUCGCGUGGCCCGACCACGGCGUUCCUGAUGACUCCUCGGACUUUCUGGAGUUCGUAAACUAUGUGAGGUCCCUGAGAGCGGAUGGCGAACCCAUGUUAGUUCACUGCAGUGCUGGAAUAGGUCGGACCGGUGUGCUGGUCACCAUGGAAACAGCCAUGUGCCUAAUUGAGAGAAACCUGCCUGUUUACCCACUGGAUAUUGUCCGGAAGAUGCGAGACCAGCGCGCCAUGAUGGUGCAGACAUCACCUCAACUUCCGCAUCUGCAAAAUGGGGACCAGCCCACAUUCGUCUAGAGGAUUGCACACGUUGGAAAGACCCGGGCUUGUAUGUGGUGGGAAAACUGGAUUAGUCCGUUAUAAAUGUCAACGGUAAUGGAGGAAGUCCAGGGGGGAGUCUGAGAACUCAAUGGAGAGCAGCGAAAGCCGACUUUGGAAAGUCAAGGAAGGCUUUCUGGAGGAGUGACUCCAGAUGAAGGAGGUGGAGUCAGCAAAGAAAGGAGCGGAAAUUCCACGUUACAGCCAGCUCUGUGUCCGCACAAGCUCAUGGACAGAGCGUAGCCAGUACAAGUUUGUAUGUGAAGCGAUUCUUCGUGUUUAUGAAGAGGGCUUAGUCCAAAUGCUGGAUCCCAGUUAAGACAACUGUGAAAAACGUUCAUUCCUCUUUCCCAAGGGCAUCCUCCUUAAGGACAGACCUUCUCUCUGGAAGCAGCAAGAGGGAUUUGUAGGCUGUGGGGGAGGAAUGAGCACAUUUGAAGCCGGGCACUUUAAAGUUCUGUAGAAGAGGUAUCGUGUACAUAGGAACUGUGUAGAUACGCAUGCAGUUACAGCAACAUUUAGGCCUGUUAUUCCUCAGAAAUAAGCAAAAGGGGAUCUCAGUUUGGGGCCUGUCCUAUUUGCCUUCCUCCCUAGACAUUACUAUGUUCCUGUAAACCAUCCUUGGGCAGUUGAGAGGGGAUGCCAGCGAUGCUGCUGACCUUCCAGAAACAAGAGGGUGCGGCGCUUCGGAGUUGCUUGGAUGUUUUGUGUGUAUAUGUGUAUAGGACUCUAAGGGCUGAGCUUUCUGGGCUUCAGGGCGGAGCUGGAAGCAUUGGCGUUCACCUGCCGAUGCUAAGGGCACCCUGCUGGAUGUACUAAGUGGCAGGGUGGGGGGAAUUCAGGCUGCAGGGCGGGCAGUACCCUUUCUGCCCUGCGUUCCUCUAUCCCCACUCCCUCCCACUUCCCAUACUGGUGUUUCUGAGAAUCCUGUCUGAAACGCCCCGCUUGCUCCCUGCAUCAGCGACCCUCUUCGGGGGCUCACACAGGGCCUGGACCGGAUUAGUAACGUAGGUUCGGGCGAGUUUUCAGUUGAGACUCAGAACGAAGACUCCCAGUGCGUCUUGUCAUCCGUCGCUAGUUUUAGGAGUGGGUGCUUCUCGCCUCCGCCUGCCUCUUGCUGCACCUGCAGAACCCAAGACUGGAAUUAUCGACUACUGAAUCUACUACAUGGAUUGCUGCUACUUCAAGCUAUUAAACUUGAAACAUUACGAUUUUCCUGAGGGGAGAUGGGAUAUCAUCUAACUAUUCAGAAUCUUUGGCCCUUCUGAGGAAAGAUCUAGUCAUGGAACCAUGGGAACCCCAGCUUCUAGAGGGUUGUCCGUGGAUGUGUGUGGAUGUGUGUGUGUGCGCCCAUGGUAAGUGUUUCUCAGGAUUCCUAACUUGAUUCAAAUUACAGUUGAGUUUCUAUAAAGAAUGAGUCUCUGUAUAGAAGAACAAAUGUGUGCAUUCACCCUCGGUUAGAAUGGUCUCCAUUUCAUUUCAAAGGAGAGGAUCAGGCUAUCUGAAUAUAAACACAAUUUGAUGUUAAUUUAUUCUAAGUGCACCCUAAUUUUGAUUUUCCUAAAGAAUUCUGCCUUUGUUCAUACUGUGUUAAAUUUUUUAAAAAUUUGUGACAGGAUUGUAGCAAAUUAUUAUUUAAGGAAAAUAAAUUACAUAAAAAUUUUAACGUGGUAUUUUUAAAUAGCGGCUUUUAUGUGUCCCGAAGGAAGAGGAAGCUAAGCCAGUUUCUCAAUGGGACUUAUAGAAAAAGGAUGCUUUUAUAUCAUAGUGCACAGAAGUGAAGCCAUUUUGAUGCCUUGCAAACUCUGGACCAAUCGAGUAGUUUCCUGGUUGCAGGCUGGAUAAAGACCUAGAUGAUGGGAGCCGGGUUUCUAAAGGUUCUUUAUCUCCAGACUUAGCACAUUUAGUUGCAUACUUCCCAUCUUUUGCCCACUAAUAUUUUACUGCUCACCGGCAGUGGUGGGAGGGAAGUGUUACGCAGUGCCAUAGCGCUACCGUGACCGGGGACCCUGAAGCCCCAUCGUUGUCCAAUUCGUGCUAAGCUAGCAGAAUGAGCCGGGAAAGCUUGGAAUUAACGCAGUUGGAGAUCUGGUUCCUGGUCCCACUCAUCGAUUAACUGUCUCCUGGCCUGGUCACUUGAGAGCAUGACCUCCCUUUCAUCUAUUUCCUGUAAAACAGGAGAAAUAAUACUGAGGCUAUGGGCUGAAUAUGAGGACUGAAUAAAAUGCUCUCAGCGGGAGUUGUCAUCAGCGGGUAGCGAUCUGACACUGCCACAGGUGCGUUACUUGGAAAAGUUAAUUUACCAGCCAUUAGCCCAGAAACCCAUGAAAUAGAAGUAUGAUCAUAUGGCUCUUUCCACAAAAGAAAAUUUCUUUUGCCGAGAACAGAAGCACAAAGGAAUAUCCUCGUACCAGUGCCUUUCUUCAAUCUGGACUCAAAACAUUCUAUCAGUUAUGUCCCAAAAAAAGAGGGGAAGGUGGAAAGCUGACCUAAAUUUAAAUGUCAUCAGGAUGCCUAGCAAAUCACUGCUAUUUCAUAAAAAUGCAUCCUUACCCUGUGUACAAGAAGCUUAAGAAGUCUAAAUGUGUUUGGAGUGUUGUUUUUUUUUCCUUAAAAAAGCAAAUUAUUCAAUAUAGUUGCGGAAAUGCUGUCAUUAUCGUACAUAAAUUUCUAAAAAGCUGGCCACGAGCCUUUUUCUGCCAUCAUGCAGGCCAGUAGUUCAGACCCAGCAGGGAACACAAUUCAUGAAAUGCAGAGGAAGAACAGGACAAGAGAAUUAUCUAAAGGGGCGAAAUACACAAAUAAGUUAUUACUACAGAUACAGCCGAUUAAAUUCUGUGCCUCAACAUUCGUGCUUCAAUACCUUGUACAUGUAGGCAAUUACACUUAAGCCUUUUUUUAGUCGUAAGUGAAAAGCAUCAAGACCACAGGGAAUACUUUGCCUGGGAAAUUUGGCGGGGAGUGAAUAGAGAGGACAUUUUACAUCUGUGUUUUGUUCUCUGGAAAAUCUGCUGGGACCCAUUGAUGUGCUGACUUAAGAUGGGACACUCCUCCCUGUGUCACUAUAGUACCUGCACUUGGUGUUUUGACUUUAUAAGAAAGAAAGCUUGAACACAAUUUGGGUGGGGCAGGAUGGGGAGGGUUCUAUCACGGACAUGCUGGUCUGUAAUUCCUACCAUCGUAAUUUAUACUUUAAAAUGUGUUUUAAUUAAGUUUUUUUUUUGUUUUAAUUCCAGAUAGUUAACAUUAAAAAUGCUUUUAGGUUAGUUGCCAUUGCUCCUGUGUUGCUACCUGAUAUUUUGUUGUUGUUCCUCAGAAAUGAUCAUUUGAGUGGGAAACAACAGGCUGCUUCAUCCUUCAAAGGCAAACAGAGAGGCAGGAUCAAUAGGAAAGGCUCAGAGGAGCUCAGAUGAAGCUCACUGGGGUCUAGACCUAGAUUUGGUGAGAUGUGUCGCCCUCAGGCCUCCAUUUCCUUAUGUGUAAAAAAGGAAGAGGUUGGGCUGGACUAAAUGAGUUCUUUGAAUGUUUAUCAUUCUGGGAGUCAUUGUUCCAGAGAAUUGAAGUUAGCCCCCAAAUCAAAGCCAUAUAGCUAUUAGAGAGGUAUCCCACUUCCAUGACCUGUCUCCAAGAGAUUGUCCCUCCAACCUUAGCAGGGUUGAAUGCCGAGAAUGACCAGGAUUGCCACCAUCUGGUUCUCGCCAUUCUACACUGAGAUUGGAAUCCGCAAAGACCCUGACCUCAGCCUAACUCUGAGGAGCCAAACACGUGAGAGUCCAAUGGCUGACUGUCCACCAUCUUUAUAACCCAUUCUGUUUGGAGCAACGGAAAGAUUGGUAUUAUGUAGUUUUGAAAAGUAUCUUAACGAGCAAUAUUUUUUUUUCUGUAAAUCGAGGAUGUUUUGCGCUCUGUCAGUGACUACUGGAAAAGUUUAAUCAAUAUAAAGACAUUCAAGCUAUGCAACA